rnacentral:rRNA from 1 species
UUUAUGGAGAGUUUGAUCCUGGCUCAGGAUGAACGCUGGCGGCGUGCCUAAUACAUGCAAGUCGAGCGAACAGAUAAGGAGCUUGCUCCUUUGACGUUAGCGGCGGACGGGUGAGUAACACGUGGGUAACCUACCUAUAAGACUGGAAUAACUCCGGGAAACCGGGGCUAAUGCCGGAUAACAUGUUGAACCGCAUGGUUCUACAGUGAAAGACGGUCUUGCUGUCACUUAUAGAUGGACCCGCGCCGUAUUAGCUAGUUGGUGGGGUAACGGCCUACCAAGGCGACGAUACG